CCUACGGGUGGCAGCAGUGAGGAAUAUUGGUCAAUGGGCGCGAGCCUGAACCAGCCAAGUAGCGUGAAGGAUGACUGCCCUACGGGUUGUAAACUUCUUUUAUAAAGGAAUAAAGUGAGGCACGUGUGCCUUUUUGUAUGUACUUUAUGAAUAAGGAUCGGCUAACUCCGUGCCAGCAGCCGCGGUAAUACGGAGGAUCCGAGCGUUAUCCGGAUUUAUUGGGUUUAAAGGGAGCGUAGGCCGCAUGUCAAGCGUGCUGUGAAAUGUCCGGGCUCAACCCGGGCCUUGCAGCGCGAACUGGCGUGCUUGAGUCCGCGGAAAGCAGGCGGAAUUCGUCGUGUAGCGGUGAAAUGCUUAGAUAUGACGAAGAACCCCGAUUGCGAAGGCAGCUUGCUGCAGCGGAACUGACGCUGAUGCUCGAAAGCGCGGGUAUCGAACAGGAUUAGAUACCCUGGUAGUC
rnacentral:rRNA from 1 species